rnacentral:rRNA from 1 species
UGAGUGGCGGACGGGUGAGUAACGCGUGGGCAACCUGGCCUGUACAGGGGGAUAACACUUAGAAAUAGGUGCUAAUACCGCAUAACGGGGGAAGCCGCAUGGCUUUUCCCUGAAAACUCCGGUGGUACAGGAUGGGCCCGCGUCUGAUUAGCCAGUUGGCAGGGUAACGGCCUACCAAAGCGACGAUCAGUAGCCGGCCUGAGAGGGCGGACGGCCGCACUGGGACUGAGACACGGCCCAGACUCCUACGGGAGGCAGCAG